rnacentral:rRNA from 1 species
UACGUAGGUGGCAAGCGUUAUCCGGAAUUAUUGGGCGUAAAGGGUGCGUAGGUGGUUUCUUAAGUCAGAGGUGAAAGGCUACGGCUCAACCGUAGUAAGCCUUUGAAACUGGGAAACUUGAGUGCAGGAGAGGAGAGUGGAAUUCCUAGUGUAGCGGUGAAAUGCGUAGAUAUUAGGAGGAACACCAGUUGCGAAGGCGGCUCUCUGGACUGUAACUGACACUGAGGCACGAAAGCGUGGGGAGCAAACAGGAUUAGAUACCCCGGUAGUCCCUGAG